rnacentral:rRNA from 1 species
UGGGGAAUAUUGGACAAUGGGCGCAAGCCUGAUCCAGCCAUGCCGCGUGAGUGAUGAAGGCCCUAGGGUUGUAAAGCUCUUUCACCGGUGAAGAUAAUGACGGUAACCGGAGAAGAAGCCCCGGCUAACUUCGUGCCAGCAGCCGCGGUAAUACGAAGGGGGCUAGCGUUGUUCGGAUUUACUGGGCGUAAAGCGCACGUAGGCGGACUUUUAAGUCAGGGGUGAAAUCCCGGGGCUCAACCCCGGAACUGCCUUUGAUACUGGAAGCCUUGAGUAUGGUAGAGGUGAGUGGAAUUCCGAGUGUAGAGGUGAAAUUCGUAGAUAUUCGGAGGAACACCAGUGGCGAAGGCGGCUCACUGGACCAUUACUGACGCUGAGGUGCGAAAGCGUGGGGAGCAAACAGG